AAGUUGUUAUAGAUGACGAGAUCCACAAAAGUCGCCUUCUCUUAGUAGUUAACUUGCAAUAUUUAUAUGGUUAAAAUUAAAAGGUGCAUAUUGUGAUAGGAAAGCAGAAAGGUCCAUUGCUAUAUAUACCAACAAACAACAAGCCAUAUGGUCAUAUGGAGAUGCUCUCUCUGAUCUAAGAGAUUAGAGUCUUAGCCACAAAUGAUGGAUGAGUAGACCAUGGGUGUGGUAUGUUAUGUCAGACAAAGUACGCUCCCAAACUAAGGUGUCUUGCAGUCUAGACAGCCAAGAAGUUACCAACGUACGUAGCCUGCUGAAGGAUUGUGACAUUAUGUCAUUCUUUUUAAAAUAAAUGUUGACACCAUGGUUAAGUUAAAGAAAUCUUAGUUCUUUAUUAUUA